rnacentral:rRNA from 1 species
AGUGAACGCUGGCGGUAGGCCUAACACAUGCAAGUCGAACGGCAGCACAGUAAGAGCUUGCUCUUACGGGUGGCGAGUGGCGGACGGGUGAGGAAUACAUCGGAAUCUACUUUUUCGUGGGGGAUAACGUAGGGAAACUUACGCUAAUACCGCAUACGACCUACGGGUGAAAGCAGGGGAUCUUCGGACCUUGCGCGAUUGAAUGAGCCGAUGUCGGAUUAGCUAGUUGGCGGGGUAAAGGCCCACCAAGGCGACGAUCCGUAGCUGGUCUGAGAGGAUGAUCAGCCACACUGGAACUGAGACACGGUCCAGACUCCUACGGGAGGCAGCAGUGGGGAAUAUUGGACAAUGGUCGCAAGCCUGAUCCAGCCAUACCGCGUGGGUGAAGAAGGCCUUCGGGUUGUAAAGCCCUUUUGCUGGGAAAGAAAAGCAGCAGGUUAAUACCCCGCUGUUCUGACGGUACCCAAAGAAUAAGCACCGGCUAACUUCGUG